GGCGGGCGGCUGCCGACAGCCGGCUACUCGCCUGCGCCUUCGGCGGCAGCAGGGCCUAUAUCCUCUCGCGGAAGGUUACCAUGCCCUGGCACGGCGGACCGCGACGGAAGCGGUACUAAAGCGUCUGAGGCAGCACUUUGUCAAGGGACGCCUGAUUGGCUAAAGGGACUCUGCAAUGGUUAGCUGGUCUGCCAUCUUAUGGAGCCUGAAUGGUACUACCAAAUAACAGAAUAUGGAACUACAUGUUCAUAUUAGGAGAAUAGUUUGAAUUUUUUCUUUUUCAGGUGAAAAGGAUUCCUCAGGAAGACCUUAUUACUUUGCUUUUGAAAAGUUUGAGGUGAGUUAGGAAAGUGGUUUAUCUAAGUGAUUUGUGACUGUGAUACCAUCAGAUACUGCAGUGGAGCACUUAAGAUAAGCAAAUUGUCCAGCAUUCAGUGAAGUUUUUCAGAGUUAUACCAGUUGGUGGAAAACCUGGUAGUACCUGGAAUCUAAACACUUAGGAGAGUGUCUGAUUUCACUGAGUUGUAUCUGUACUAGAAAAUACAUUAUAUUUUCUCCAUUUAGUGUCAUUUGCAAAUGUUCACAUCUACCCUGAUACUCUUGCUGGGAAAAGACACUGAGCACAAACUGCCAUUUAGAUUACUGUGAACUGAAUUUGAUGAUGUGAAAUACUACUUACCACCACAAUAAAAGUCUUAGCAUAACUGGUUCUGUGUAAGAACAAA